rnacentral:rRNA from 1 species
GACGAACGCUGGCGGCGUGCUUAACACAUGCAAGUCGAACGGAAAGGCCCUGCUUUUGUGGGGUGCUCGAGUGGCGAACGGGUGAGUAACACGUGAGUAACCUGCCCUUGACUUUGGGAUAACUUCAGGAAACUUGGGCUAAUACCGGAUAGGAGCUCCUGCUGCAUGGUGGGGGUUGGAAAGGUUCGGCGGUUGGGGAUGGACUCGCGGCUUAUCAGCUUGUUGGUGGGGUAGUGGCUUACCAAGGCUUUGACGGGUAGCCGGCCUGAGAGGGUGACCGGCCACAUUGGGACUGAGAUACGGCCCAGACUCCUACGGGAGGCAGCAGUGGGGAAUAUUGCACAAUGGGCGGAAGCCUGAUGCAGCAACGCCGCGUGCGGGAUGACGGCCUUCGGGUUGUAAACCGCUUUCGCCUGUGACGAAGCGUGAGUGACGGUAAUGGGUAAAGAAGCACCGGCUAACUACGUG